GUCGAACGCUGGCGGCGUGCUUAACACAUGCAAGUCGAACAGUGGCGAACGGGUGAGUAACACGUGAGUAACCUGCCCUCCACUUUGGGAUAACUCCGAGAAAUCGGGGCUAAUACUGGAUAGUGGGGGAUGGGCUCGCGGCCUAUAAGUUUGUUGGUGAGGUAGUGGUCACCAAGGCGUGACGGGAUGCCGGCCUGAUAGGGCGACCGGCCACACUGGGGCGGAGACACGGCCCAUGCGCCUACCGGGGGCAGCAGUGGGGAAUAGUGCACAAUGGGGGAAAGACUGAUGCAGCGACGCCGCGUUGGGGAUGACGGCCUUCGGGUUGUGAACCUCUUUCAGCAAUGAAGCUGUACUUGCAGAAGAAGCGCCGGCUAACUACGUGCCAGCCGCCGCGGUAAUAC
rnacentral:rRNA from 1 species